UACGUAGGUGGCAAGCGUUGUCCGGAUUUACUGGGCUUAAAGAGCGCGCAGGCGGUCGUGCAAGUCGCGUGUGAAAGCCCCCGGCUCAACUGGGGAGGGUCACGCGAUACUGCUCGACUUGAAGGCAGGAGAGGGAAGUGGAAUUCCCGGUGUAGUGGUGAAAUGCGUAGAUAUCGGGAGGAACACCAGUGGCGAAGGCGACUUCCUGGCCUGUUCUUGACGCUGAGGCGCGAAAGCUAGGGUAGCAAACGGG
rnacentral:rRNA from 1 species